rnacentral:lncRNA from 10 species
GAUAAGCAGAGAGAAUGAGGAGUGACACCUAAGGACCUUGGUCAAAGUGAAACAUUCAUGGGGGUUCUGGCUGUGAGAAACAUCCUGCCUAACACCUGCCUACAAGUCAGACAAAGGCCCAACUAAAGAAAUAUCCCUAUCAUAUUCUGUUGGGAGAAAGUGCAAAGAAACACCAUGUUCCACCAGAAAAAGGGCCAGAACUGCCUCAUCAUGGGAACAUCUUAUCAAUAUCCUGCUGAGCAGCAAGCCAUAUGGCCCAGACCCCUCCCGCUCAAACCUUUAAGUACCCCAGCCUGUAAGUGGAGGUGGGCUCUGGCAUUAAGCUGGUCUCCCACUUCCAUAGGUGUCUGCAAUAUACUUGUAUUGCUGUUUGAGCCGCC